AGAGUUUGAUCCUGGCUCAGGACGAACGCUGGCGGCGUGCUUAACACAUGCAAGUCGAGCGAUGAGAUCCCUUCGGGGAUGGAUUAGCGGCGAACGGGUGAGGAACACGUGAAGAAUCUGCCUUCAACUCUGGGAUAACACCGGGAAACCGGUGCUAAUACCGGAUAUGAGCCUUGAUCGCAUGAUCGGGGCUGGAAAGUUUUUCGGUUGAAGAUGACUUCGCGGCCUAUCAGCUAGUUGGUGAGGUAAUAGCUCACCAAGGCGACGACGGGUAGCCGGCCUGAGAGGGCGACCGGCCACACUGGGACUGAGACACGGCCCAGACUCCUACGGGAGGCAGCAGUGGGGAAUAUUGGGCAAUGGAGGAAACUCUGACCCAGCGACGCCGCGUGAGGGAUGAAGGCCUUCGGGUUGUAAACCUCUUUCAGCAGGGAAGAAGCGAAAGUGACGGUACCUGCAGAAGAAGCACCGGCUAACUAUGUGCCAGCAGCCGCGGUAAUACAUAGGGUGCAAGCGUUGUCCGGAAUUAUUGGGCGUAAAGAGCUCGUAGGUGGUUAGUUACGUCGGAUGUGAAAAUCUAGGGCUCAACCCUAGACCUGCAUCCGAUACGGGCUAGCUUGAGUUUGGUAGGGGAGACUGGAAUUCCUGGUGUAGCGGUGGAAUGCGCAGAUAUCAGGAGGAACACCAAUGGCGAAGGCAGGUCUCUGGGCCAAUACUGACACUGAGGAGCGAAAGUGUGGGGAGCGAACAGGAUUAGAUACCCUGGUAGUCCACACAGUAAACGAUGGGCACUAGUUGUGAGAACCUUCCACGGUUUCUGCGACGCAGCUAACGCAUUAAGUGCCCCGCCUGGGGAGUACGAUCGCAAGAUUAAAACUCAAAGGAUUGACGGGGCCCCGCACAAGCAGCGGAGCAUGCGGCUUA
rnacentral:rRNA from 1 species